rnacentral:rRNA from 1 species
UAGAGGAAGUAAAAGUCGUAACAAGGUUUCCGUAGGUGAACCUGCGGAAGGAUCAUUAUUGAAUUAAACUUGAAACGGGUUGUUGCUGGCUCUCCUCCUUGGAGUUGCAUGUGCACGCUUGUUUUUUUCUUUAUUUCUCCAACUGUGCACGAAUUGUAGACCUGGUCUAUGUUUUUCACAAUCUCUGAAUGUAUUAGAAUGGCUGGGAACAAAAAAUAUACAUACAACUUUCAGCAACGGAUCUCUUGGCUCUCGCAUCGAUGAAGAACGCAGCGAAAUGCGAUAAGUAAUGUGAAUUGCAGAAUUCAGUGAAUCAUCGAAUCUUUGAACGCAUCUUGCGCUCCUUGGUAUUCUGAGGAGCAUGCCUGUUUGAGUGUCAUUUAAAACUUCUCAACUGCUUCUGAGCAGCUUGGAAAUGGGGGGUGUGCAGGCUAAGUGUAGUCUGCUCCCCUGAAAUGUAUUAGUGGUGUCUGGGCGGACUAACCACAGGUGUGAUAAAUUAUCAAUGCCUUGGUUAAUUUUGCUGCUGCUUCCAACCCUUAUAAAUGACCAACUUGACCUCAAAUCAGGUAGGAUUACCCGCUGAACUUAAGCAUAUCAAUAA